rnacentral:rRNA from 1 species
AGUGAACGCUGGCGGUAGGCCUAACACAUGCAAGUCGAACGGCAGCACAGUAAGAGCUUGCUCUUACGGGUGGCGAGUGGCGGACGGGUGAGGAAUACAUCGGAAUCUACUUUUUCGUGGGGGAUAACGUAGGGAAACUUACGCUAAUACCGCAUACGACCUACGGGUGAAAGCAGGGGAUCUUCGGACCUUGCGCGAUUGAAUGAGCCGAUGUCGGAUUAGCUAGUUGGCGGGGUAAAGGCCCACCAAGGCGACGAUCCGUAGCUGGUCUGAGAGGAUGAUCAGCCACACUGGAACGGGGACACGGUCCAGACUCCUACGGGAGGCAGCAGUGGGGAAUAUUGGACAAUGGGCGCAAGCCUGAUCCAGCCAUACCGCGUGGGUGAAGAAGGCCUUCGGGUUGUAAAGCCCUUUUGUUGGGAAAGAAAAGCAGCAGGUUAAUACCCCGCUGUUCUGACGGUACCCAAAGAAUAAGCACCGGCUAACUUCGUG